rnacentral:snoRNA from 1 species
AUCAUUUUGUACCUUUUAAGCAUGACCAUUGGGUUUUCACACUCAUAUGGGAGUGCCUCCCUCAAACUUUGUUACAUUGGCACAUGACUCAUCUGAUG